rnacentral:rRNA from 1 species
UACGUAGGUGACAAGCGUUGUUCGGAGUUACUGGGCGUAAAGGGUGUGUAGGCGGUUUUCUAAGUUUGGUGUGAAAUCUCCCGGCUUAACCGGGAGGGUGCGCCGAAAACUGGGAGACUAGAGUGCGGGAUGGGAGAGUAGAAUUCCUGGUGUAGCGGUGAAAUGCGUAGAUAUCAGGAGGAAUACCGGUGGUGUAGACGGCUCUCUGGACCGCAACUGACGCUGAGACACGAAAGCGUGGGUAGCAAACAGG